rnacentral:rRNA from 1 species
CCUACGGGGGGCAGCAGUGAGGAAUAUUGGUCAAUUGGCGAGAGCCUGAACCAGCCAAGUCGCGUGAGGGAUGACGGUCCUAUGGGUUGUAAACCUCUUUAGGCGGGGAGCAAUUCCGUCCACGCGUGCGCUUAGGGAGAGUACCUGCAGAAUAAGCAUCGGCUAACUCCGUGCCAGCAGCCGCGGUAAUACGGAGGAUGCGAGCGUUAUCCGGAUUUAUUGGGUUUAAAGGGUGCGUAGGCGGAUUUUUAAGUCAGCGGUAAAAUGUCGGGGCUCAACCCGGGCCGGCCGUUGAAACUGGGGAUCUUGAGUGGGCGAGAAGUAUGCGGAAGGCGUGGUGUAGCGGUGAAAUGCAUAGAUAUCACGCAGAACUCCGAUUGCGAAGGCAGCAUACCGGCGCCCGACUGACGCUGAGGCACGAAAGCGUGGGGAUCGAACAGGAUUAGAUACCCCAGUAGUC